rnacentral:rRNA from 1 species
UACGUAGGUGGCAAGCGUUGUCCGGAUUUACUGGGCGUAAAGGGCGCGUAGGCGGUCCGCUAAGUCCGACGUGAAAUCCCCAGGCUUAACCUGGGAACUGCGUCGGAUACUGGAUGGCUUGAAUUCGGGAGAGGGAUGCAGAAUUCCAGGUGUAGCGGUGAAAUGCGUAGAUAUCUGGAGGAAUACCGGUGGCGAAGGCGGCAUCCUGGACCGACAUUGACGCUGAUGAGCGAAAGCUAGGGGAGCAAACGGG